GGGCCAGGGAGACCAAGGGACUAGAAUUCAUGCAAGAGCAAAUAUUCCAGUAGACUGGAUUGGGGGACACGACUCAGAUUCUGGACUCUUGGCAACUGAGGGGAUGGUGUCAUUGGUGAAUUUGGCAGAUGGAAUAGAUUUUAAGAAGAAACUAUGUUGUUCUGUUUGAAGUGCCCAUGGAAUCCAUGUGGUAAUAUUUAAUAGAUGGCUAUGCUAGAAUUAAAAUAUCUAGAGAAUUAAAAUAAGCUUCUCAAUUUGACCUAUGGAAGGGGCUAUCUCAGGCAAACUUGGAAUCGAAUCAUUGUCAGUGUAGAAAACAGUAAAACAGGGAAAUGUUUUACUUGGGGAACCCACUUGGUUCCCCAAGCACUGCACUUUUCUAGCCCUAAGAGUUCCCUGUGCAGGUCUUUUACAGCUUGUCUCAAGGGUUACUGGACACUGGGCACUGCACCCAGGGCUCAGAAGUGUUACUGACAAGGCUCAUGGCUGUGUAGCCAUUACUGUGCUCUUGGUCUCAUCCUCCCUCCAAGUGUUCAGAGGGCUCCACAGGCAGUCAAGGUCCUGAGGAGACCAAAGCCCUGUCUACACCACCCUUCUUUCAUCUCCUGAGGGUCUCCAGCUUCAAGGGCUUUCCUGUAAAGAGAGACUCAUGUGGAUCACAAAGGGGAGAUGUGAGGUAGGUACCAGUAAGAGAAAUUGGUGGUUUUCAUUUUUGUUUUUGUUUUUAGAGAGAGCAGAAAUCAGAUUUGUGUUACUGGGGUGGGAUUAGGGGCUUAAUUGGGGCGGAGAGGCAGUGCUAGCCUUCCUUUCAAUUUGUCAAGCUUUCUUUCAAAAGAUCUGCCAAAGAAGAAAGGGUAAUUAAUAGGCUUGAAGUCAUUUCCGUUGUGUCAGGAUUUCUGCCUCGCUUCCAAGUGAUAAUGCUCGCCGGCUCCAGGCCUCUAGGGAGCCUUCCGUCUUAUUAACUUGUCUGGGAGAAACAGGGAGUGGGGACAGCUUGGACCAGUGGGUGACGGGAAAUAAAGAUUUGUGGUGUAGUGAGCUGUAAACACCAGGGCCCAAUAAGUUGAGGGGAACAUGAGGGGCUGGCAAGGAGAGAAAUGCUCUCAGACGACACUUCAGCAGGAAGUCACAGUCUCUCUUUCCUGGGUCCCAUGGCCAUCCGACCUUCUGAGAGAUUCUUCAGCGUAACCCCGGGGAAGAAGGGCACUCUAAUGAGCAGUGUGUUGACAUGAGGGCGUCCAUGUGUGUGAACCUCAUUUCUCCUACCUCCUACGGUUGCUUAAAAGAAAAUAAUCUCCACUAAAAUGCUAUUUGGACUUCACGGUAGAUAAUUCCCUCCAGCCCCGAAAGUGGUCUGCCCACACAGAGACCCCCAGCUUUGGACUUCGUCAAAGACAGAGCUGCUACAGAGCAUAUAUUAAGUGCCUAAUUGUGCGUGGCUCUGUCUGAGACUUGGCCCGGUACAUGUGCUUGCCUCCUACCCUAGGGCUGUUUAUGGUCUGAGAAAAGAAGCUGGCAUCUGCUUUGCAACAAAUAGGUUGUCUCGUGCAGCGCCCACUACAGUGUAGGCAAUUCAGGUCUUGGUUGUGUCUGUGGAGAAGGAAUCGUACUGUACCUCCAUUUCUGGCUGUUCCUCACGACCGAAGCUCCAUUAGAGUAGCACCUGGCCCUCCUCCUCCUCUAUAAAAUCAUCUGCCUUUAUUUUCAGAAAAAAAGAGAAGGAAAGACAGACUGUGUACAUUCUGAAGUUAACACCAAGAGUCUACCAUUCCAUUUUUUCGAUAGGUGAUUGAUACUCAGAGAAAUUGUCUCGUAGCCAAGUGUCAGCCAGAGCCCAGGCAAUCCUGCUGGAUGGCAACUCCUUGACUCCCGUGAUGGACUUUAGCGUGUGUGCCUGGGGACGUCCCCUACACCUACAGUUGGCCUAGAGGUUAGCUGAUAAGAGGCCCUACAGAGUGGAGGAAGGAAUUUAAAAGUGGUCUUGAAGUGGGUGGGGACUCUAACUGAGGGAGGUUCAGAAAGAACCUGGCAUUGGCUUCUCAGUGUUUGAAACCUUCUUGACACCUGAGCAGGGACAGCAUCUUCUUCACUGACCAAGGCCACGUCUGGGAGGAUGGGCCACCCCUGCUAUCCCACUCCACCAGCAGCAUGUACAUGAAUACCUGGUGCUUGCAUAAAAGAAACAACACACCGAGUAUCAUCCAGGGCUGCUGAUGUCUACCCUUGGCUGAAAGUCAGCUUCCAACUCAGUUGUGACCUCCCCUUAGGCUACCACCAAUAUGCCCCCACCCAUGGACUCGCUACAUCCCCCUUAUUCCCCUUCCAGCAAAUUCAUGAGGCUCAGACCACACCCCCAGUCCACAGCCUACCAACAUCUCCCAUCAGUAUGCAGUGUGGUAGGAAGGUGAGCCCUUGCUUCUUUGCUCAGAGUACAGUGUCUGGUUUAAUGGGAAAAUGUCACCUGAGUCAGGCGAAGGGUCCAUAGUUACAAUCCCUGCAUUUAGGAGGCCAAAUCAAGAGGACAGCCAUAAGUUCAAGGUCAGCAUGAUGAGAUCCUGUGCAUGAGUGCACGUGCGUGUGUGCAUGUGUGUGCGUGUGUGUG
rnacentral:sRNA from 1 species